AAUCACUACGGGUAUGUACCCAUACAAAUAAAUCUUUAAAUGGUCAAUAAAUAUGCAAGAGAAGGUAGACAAAAAUAUCAAAAAUAAAAAAACCGAGUUUCAGCAACUCAUGUGAUUCUUCAGAAUAUCGACCAAGUUCUAUAGCUGCCUUCGGAUGUAAUGACAGACCAUUAAAAUGAAACCAAGUACCACGCAGUACAUAUUUUUGACUGCUAAUUACAAAAAUGUAUGUAUUUAUGUAAACGCUUUUGCCACAUUAACCACAAAUUCAAAUGAGUACUCGCACACACGCCGCCAUACCACAGAAACACUUUGUGGCAAUUCAUAUCCACACCAACAAAUGGGGAGAUUUUAAUCAGCGACAGGCUAAAUUCUGACGCACAUACACUUUCGGACAUAUGUACAUACAUACAUUUGUAUAUCCACGUCUACAUAUGUACACCCACAAAAUAAUUUUUAUCAGUUGCACCGGCGACGACGAUGAUGAGACACCACUCCACCAAACCACAUUGUCAAUGUGGCAACAUGACGAAUUUGCAAAAUUGCGGAACACCGCCAAAAGUGCGCAAUAGCGCGAGACAACAUUUGAGAGUUUCGCACCUGGCGGCCGUCAAGCCAUCAGCAUUCUGCAGCGCCCGCAGCAUGUACAUAAAUGGUGGGAAUUUCGGUGUGAAUGGAAGUAUGAAGUAUAGUACAGUAAACCAGAAGGGGAAGCAAAUUUUCGGCCACAAGCCAAAUAAACAAAUUAAAAAAGUGAAAUAAUAAAACGGACGUAACAGAGUAACUAAACAAAUUGUUAUUGCCAUUUGUGGUUGUUGACAUGUAAUUUAAAUUUUUUA